AGUUCGUUUUUAAAUCCAGAUACAAGCAGGUUGUGAGGGAUGCUGAACUUGUCUCUGCAUGUCCCGCUGGAGGUGGAGGAGACCGGGCUGCCGGAGGACCUGUGGCCCGCAGAGAGCAGCUGAUCCGGGCCGGGUCCACCCAGGCUCUUCCGCUGAUCUACAGAAUCAUGGCGGUUCACCAAGUAGUCUCCGGCCGGACCGAGCCGGAUCUUCGGCCCCUGAACCUGGAGGACUCGAGGCGGCUGCGGGUCCUCUCUGCCCAGGCCCUGUCCAUCGUGAGGAACCGGGACGUGCAGAACUUUGAGACGGUGAUGGCGUUCCUGGACGCGAUGCACCGCCUGCUACCCGGGCUGGUUCCCGCCAUCAAACACAUGAAGAUCCAGUUCGGCCUGAAGACCAUGGUCGUCAUGCGGAUGCUGAGGGAAGGCAGAGGGACGGUCCACAUCGUGUCCAGUAUCAUCCGGUUCUUCCCCAACAAGCUGCCUCAGUAUGAAGAUCAGUGUAACCAGAGAGAAAUGUUCCUGAUGAGGAAGAACCAGGCCGACUUCAGACGCCUGGCCCAGAACCUGGCCUUCACCAAGGAGAGGCUGCAGGACUACAUGAAGGGUGACAUGGAGGAACGCUACGGUGAGCGCUACGCCCAAAAGGUGGAGCAGCGGCUGCUGGUUUAUCUGCAGGAGCUGCGGAGGGCGCUAUCUGCAGACACCUGCAGCGGCAGAACCGGGCCGAACCAACCCCAACCUGGUCUCAUUACUCUGACUCAGAUGAUGAACAAGCAACAUCCUGAGGAUGAGGAGGAGAAGAGCUCACCUUCAUUAGCUGGGAGGAAGCUGCUGCUGUGUGACGCUCGUCCCUCAGAGACGUCCCAGCAGGGACGGCCUGGGCCUGAUUGGAUCCUGCAGGUCGGUUCUAGUUCCAGUCCAGAUGUUGGGGAACCCCAUGGUCCAGAGGACAGAACAGGACCAGGGACAGUGGAGGAGGAGGAUGUCCCUCCGUCCCCUCGGUUCUGCUCCAAGCACCAGCGCUGGAUGGACAACUUCCUAAGAGGCUGUGCUGAGGACGACCCGCCCCCGGUUCCGUCCGACCCGACCCCAGUUUCGUCCAACCCGACCCCGGUUUCGUCCUCGGACCAGACGCCGUCGGACCUGGUCUCGCCUCUGCCCAGAACUUCAGAAGGUUCUGAUGGACCCGUCCUGCUGGUUCCAGUGGUCCGGCUGGAGGACGUCUCGAGGCGACUCGGGUCCAAUCUGUCUCAACCCGUCUCUGCAAUUCUGGUCAAAGCAGCUCAUUGUGGUUCUGGUCCGGGUUCUUGGGCCCGCCGGACAUCGGUGGACCAAAACGUCCUGGAGCCUGCAGGUUCUGGCCCGGUUCUGGGAGGACAGACUGUCCCUUCCUCUGACCUACAGAACCGGGCCUCACAGGUUCCGACUGACCCAGCUCAGCAAGGUGUCCAUCAGAACUCCAUCAGAAUCCAUCGUGAAACCCAAACCAGCAGAACUGUUCAGUCCAGAUCCCAGCCGGGUUCUCCUGCCGGCUCCAGAACCUCAGCCCUUCUGGGCCGCUUGCAGCCGUGUGUGGUUCUGACCCGACUGAACGCCAAGCAGUGCUGCUCCUUCAGCAACCAGGAGGUCCGGCCCGGCCCGGCCCGCCGGCCCAGCAGAGAUCCAGACUACCGGCCUCACGUCAACAGGAAGAGAUUCCUGUCGGAGAUCCGGAGGGUCCGGAGGGUCCGGUUCCCUCUGAGGACGGGAAGGAGAGUCCAAACGGAACCGGGCCGGUUCUGGUUCUAGACUCUAAAUACAGUAAUGAACCUGCUUCGAUGAUCUGACCUCACAGCAACGGGUCCAAUCAGUACCGGUUCUGACCUGGAUCCGGUAUCAGAGUCCUAUUUGAUCCAGUUCCAGCAACCAACUGGGUUUACUGGGAAGAGAAAACACAUGCCGCACUUUUAAGGUGGUAAACACUGACCUUCCUCUGCUUGGUGAUGGUCCAGAACCCAGUAGAACCCGCCUUCUUCUAGUCUAUCAGGUUAGGUUAGAAGAAGAAGCAAACAUCGUCUCAGGUGUCAGAACCAGAACCUGGGUCGGGAAAGUAUUCACUUCCUGUUCUGCCAAUCAGACGAACGGCGGCCAGUCAGGAAGAGUUGAUCUGAAAAGUGUGGCGUGCUUGUUGUUAAACACCAGAACCUCUUCAGAACCUUGUGACUGCAUCAUCGUUGCUAUGGUGAUGGCCCCUCCAGAAGCUGCUGUUGGGUCAGAGAUGAUUUCUUGUGGUUCUAGUGGUCCUGGUUCCGGUCCAUUAUCAGUGUUCUGUGGCGUCAGUGUGUUUGUGUCGCAUCAUAUUUGUUCCCAGGAUUCAGAGGUCAGAGUCCGGUCGGUUCCUGCGGGGAACUGGAGAACGGGCCAGGUAUCGACCCGAGGUUCUGUUUGCGCCGCGAGGUCGACGGCCGGCAGAGAGCAAACUGUUGCGUCAUUUCAUCGGAACAGAAGCGGGUCGGGCAGCGGGUCGAGAUUAACCCCCGACGGGCCGGGGAGGCUAGUUAGCCUCGUUAGCUGCUGAUCCGUCUUCCCACAGCAUGGUGCUGCCACCACCUUGCUUCACUGUAUGGAUGCUGUGUUCAGGUUGUUACUUUCCCCCACUAGGGCCAGGAAGUUCUGUUUGGACCGGGUCAGAACCUGCAGGUUUUGAAGCUGAUUCCGACAGACUUUAAUCGAUCGCAGCUUGUUGCUCUGAUGCUGAUCUCUGUUUGCCUUCGCGUGACGAACGCAGCCGCCCCCCCAGCACCAGUAUACCCACCACUAUGCCCUCCCAGUAAAUGCUGCAGCCGGUCUGGUUCUGGUUACUGGUGGAGAGGAGUGGGAGGGGGGCGUUCCCGCUCGGCCCCCGGCCUCGGCCAAUGGGAGCGCUGCGUCUAAAGGUUUUGCUGCUCAGCAUCUAUAAAAGCAGCUUUGAUCUGCUGGAUGAGAUCCUGAGCGGUUCUCCAGCAGCCAGACGUUAGUGGUUCUGGUUCUAGUGGUUCUGGUUCCAGUGGUGCUUUUGGAUAAAAUCCUGAGCGGUUCUCCAGCAGCCAGACGUUCAGCAGAUAUUGCAGCAGGAAGUUUUGAUGAGCUGCUGCUGGACUGGAUGCCAGUUACUCUAGUAAUU